rnacentral:lncRNA from 1 species
GGAAGGGGGAGAGAGAUGACAAGCAGGCAGAGAGGCAGGCAGAGAGAAAGGAGGAAGCAGGCUCCCUGCUGAGCAGAGAGCCCCAUG